AUACCAUCUAGAUGUUUCAUGAACAAAGAGAUGGAUUGACACAAACACUGGGUUUUGGUUUUCUCUCACCCACCAGUUGAGGUUAGGGAACCUUAACGUGAUAAAAGAUAUUUUCUUAUUCCAAGUGUGUUAGAGCCCUUGACGCUGAAGCCUGGUUAAAAGUUAGAGUCUGAUAUCCUCACUUUUCAAAAUGAGGUUUUGUCACAGCUAAACAUCAGCCAGGGGAUUCACAUGUAUGACAAUGGCAGCAUAUGACAGCUGCAGCAAAUUACAGAGCCUCAUUCUGACCUUAGUUUUUAAUAAACACUAAAAUAAACGAAGACAGCAUUUUACUUUCAGGUAUGAAAAAGAAAUAUCUAAGCAAGAAUUCAGAUAAUGAAUUAUUGUUUUGGGCUGGACAUUAAUAGAAGCUGACACAAACAAUGGCGUCAGCCAGGGGAGCAUUCCAAAACUUUGUACAGUGUUCCUGAUAGCCGGAGAAGAGAAGGAGAAAUUGAACCCUCCAAAUACGAAGAGAUUUCAUUAUACAUUUGACUUAAGAAGCACUGUAAUUUUGACAAUAGAUGACACUUCAUAGUUAGGUUCACAAUGGUUAGAUAUUUAUGAAGAAAUGGAGGCAGAUUAGCUCAUUCCUCCUAGAACAUGGAUACAUAUUCUUCACAGGAUGAAUAUACACUGUCUUAAUACCCAUUUCAGCAGAAAACUGAAAUAAAACAAGUAUUUAUCUUCCAUGAAAAUGAUGAAACCCAAAACAUGUGAAGUGUAAAAAGAAUCUUCAGAAAAAUAAUACAUAUAAAGAAAAGAAGACAAUUAUUAACAGUGCUGAAGUGUGGGCUGUCUCAUUUAAGGAAACCUCCCAAUUCUUUAGUACUGUGUGAAUACAUAAACCAACAUUCAAAUACAAAUUAAAAAGGAGUUUCAGGAGAUUUCAGGAGCUGAGCAAAGAAGCAAGAGAAACAAAUUCCACAGGGGAGGAUGCAGAAAAGAAACAGGUUCAAAUAAACGCCAGCUCCAGUACAAGAAAAAGCUUUUGUGUAAAUGGUGUAUGUAGUUGGCCAAGAUGCCAACACAGCGUGAGAAUGCUGACCCAGCUAGCCUGACAUUAUUCACAAUAGCUAAGAUGUGGAAGCAACCCAAGUGCCCAUCAAUGGAUGAAUGGAUAAAGAAGAUGUGGUAUAUAUAUAUAUACGAUGGAAUAGUACUCAGCUAUAAAAAAAGACAAAAUUGUGCCAUUUGUGACAACAUGGAUGGACUUCGAGGGUAUUAUGCUAAGCAAAAUAAGUCAGAAGGAUAUGGCCAUCGUUGCACUGUUCAUUUUAAACACCAACUGGAAGAGGCUUCCAUUGCUCAUUUGGCACCAACCUGAAUCACUCUGCAGCAUCUUGAUACCCGAGAGUGCAAACACUUUGGAGUUCAUCCACCUGGAUUCAAUGAGCCAAGUGUGUGACCUUAGAUGAGCAGCAAAUUGUCAGGUGGUCCAGAGAAUGAGAGAGCUGGUGAACUCUGCACAUUCAGGAGCUCAGUUCCCCAAGGUGCAACAAGAAAACACGUUCAUCAUUGAAAGCAGGCGUAGCUUCUGGACAUUUCGGCACUGAUUUUUAAAAGUGUGGAAAUAACUCUUGCUUUAAUAUAAAUCAGAGCUGAAGAUCUGAGCAUCACUAUGCCAAUGUCGACGGAAGCACCAAGGACUGACCUGCCACCUCUUCUCUACCUCUACUCCCCGGUACUGGGAGCUGGUUUCAUGAACUUCACAAUGCACUUGAUUCGGUCCUGACAAAUUUAUAGUGUGCCUUGGGAUAUAAAUUUAAUUGACUAUUAUUUCAGGCUUUGUCAUCAGAAAGGUCACUGGAGAAAAAUACAUAGGGAAGUUCUGAAGUAUGAAAAUUGUCAGUUAAUCUGAGAUUUUCAUUUAACUGAGGUUUAUUUUUAGGUCCAAUUUCACCGCGCUGUGCCAAAGGCCAUUGUAAAACUUGAUGAAGAAAUAAUUUUCCUUUCAAAAUGAUAUAACAUUUAAUUGUAAUUCUAAUUAUAUUCAAUUUAAUGGUGAUAUUAAGGUACAUUUUGAAUGGAGGCUAAGCGUCCUUUUUGCUUCACUCCUUGGCACAGUGGAAUUGUGAAGCCACCAAAGCCGAAUGAUAUUAGAAAUUAUGUACUGACCACUUACUAUGCAUUGGAUGCUAAAUUCACCACCCUGGCUGGUGUGAAAAGAUGUUUAAAUACUUGCAUUUUCAAGAUUACUUGCAUUUCAGAUCUUAGGAAAGAAAGAUAUAUAAUUGGAGAUACAGUUUUCUUGGACCUCCCAUUUAUUUUUCUUUCUAUAUUGAGUUAUUUCUAUUUAGUCUAUGGGUGGCAUUUUCUUCAAAAUCAUUUCCUAAAAUUUAUGCAGAAUUGUUGUCUAUAUUUACCCUUUCUCUUUUUUGCUAUAAUUGCUUU